AGUAAACUUUUCUAGCACAGAUGAGAUAAAUAUCUGCACAACUUUUAAAAAUCAGCAAAUUGCCAUCAUCUACCACAGGGUUGUUUCUGGUCUUCCUUGGGAUGUAGAUUCUUCCAUAAAAUUAAUUAAAAGAUACAUUGCACCAUAAAGAGACAGCAUGUAUGGGGGUCAGAAGGGCAGCCUGCUUAACCCAAAAAUUAAAAUGGGAGAAGACAUGCAAACAGAGGUUGAAGGGGAGGUGGAUGAGAUUGUCUAAAAGUGACUUUGCAGUGUUCCCUUGGAAAAAAGAGUGGCACAGCCCACAGAUGACACACAGCUGGAAAACUUCCCUUAGGAAGGAAGACCAGCCAGGUGGCUCUGCUCUCUUUCCUCCACAAUUUUACCUACCAUCCUUGACAACAACGGCAGUGGGAAGGAAGGAGCAAGGGUGGAGCAGAGCUGCAGUUGGGCUCCACCACAUCUCCAGGGACAACCUUCACCCUGUGGAGCUUGGCCAGGCUGCAUCAGCCAGUCCCCAUACUUCCAGUCCCAUGAGGGACUUCGAGUGAUGAUGUGGGAGAAAUUGGAUUUGGGAAGCCAAAGAUUUCCCCUUUCUGAGGCGCAAUGGAGAAGCAGCCCAGAAGCUGCCGUGUUUAUAGCAGGAUGUUUGCAAGCACUGGGAGGACGAGGCCAACAGGCUCCCCAGACCUCUGGCUCCAUCUCAGCUCCAGCACCCUGGCCCCAGGCAAGCAGCUCCCACAUGUGUGCCUUCACUCUGGCCAGAAAAGGAGUAAUAAUUAACUCACAGGGCUGUAAAGUACUUGAACAAGAAAAGACCAGUACAUUUGAACGGUACCUCCGUCCAGCUAAGCCUACCUCCGCGAUGCCAAAGUGAGCUUGCAGGACCCUGCUGCUUAUCAGGGUGUGACCCACCAGCCUGGGGAUGGGGACAGUAGCCACUUCUGUCACUACAUUUACUGAGAUAAAGUGAUCACACACUCAUCUCCCUGGGAGAUGUAAAGAUUAAAGGUUGGCAAGUCAAGUGCCUUGACAGUGAAAAUGCUGUUGAAUGGUGCUAACGUUUUAUCACUGCUGCUUGCCACACAAGUACUUGCUAUUACAUUUAUUAUUAAAACACGUUUCUCAUAGAGCUGCAGACUGUGAGGCCAUGAAUGGUAUUAGGCUGAAAUCAGGACGUUCAUAUUUCAAGGAAUUCCAGAGGAAUGAACAAUAAUUUGCCACUAAUUGCAAAGAAGCUUUGAUAAAAACUCUGAACAGACUCACAACAGCGCAUAUUUUCCAGAGACUGCCCAGUAAUUUUCAGUAAAACCCAAGAACAACAUGACCGUUAACUCUUAUGUUAAAUGUCAUCCAGAUUUGUUCAUAUAAUUCUUCACCACGCUGCAUCUUUUCUAUGCAUGUUUUCGUAAUUUAUGCUGUGUGGCUGCAUUUGGGCUUGCUCAGUUAUACAUCCAUGGAAAAACAUUAGAUGAAGGUCAAAUGAAGCCUAGAAGGGAUGGGUGAUUACCUUUCCCAUUUGACUGUUCUUUAAAAAGUACAAAAGUUAUCUUCUAGCUUGUGACUUUGUUUGUAAGCAGAUUGCAUCCACACAAACCCCUUCCCAUGUAAAGGCUUAAAGACGUGCCGUAGAUCCUUUCUGGAAAUGGACGAGGCCAUGAGCAGCGAUGGCAUUUGGAUUGCGCAGUGAACUGUGUGGUGAUGGUUUGUGGCAAUGUGUGCAGCACUGUGCAUGUGCAUGGCUUCCUCAGUGAGUCUGCUGGAGAAGGAGAAAGCAACUCUGACCCCUGACUAUGAGGCUUGGAAUUAGGCAGGACAUCUACCCAUGCCCUGGGAAGGUCCUUUGCUGCAUUAGGAGGUUAUCGCUGGGAGCCUGAUUCAAGACCCACUGUGAUCUGUGGAGACUUCCACUGACUACUGAGAUUUUCUCUUUGUGCUAGGGCAUGCUAAAUAACGUGAUAUGCUUGUGGAAAUAAAAAUGUCUUUUCAUGCUUGGCUAGUGCUGCUCAUGUUGUUUGAUGGCUGCAAAUGUUCAGAAAGCUACCAGCUGUUUGUAAGGCUGUGCUGAAGGCUUCCCAAUCACAACAAUACUGUUCCAUUAUUGUGAGCACUUAUACAAGGUACAGGUUGUUUUUGCUUAAGUUUGUUGCCAUUUAAAGUUCCAAUAGCAGUAAUCAAUACCAGAUGACUUAAGUUACCUCCCAAAAGAGAAGACUGGUGAAUGGUUGAAACAAUUGUAAUACCUCAUGGGAAAGUUAAUUGUUCAAAUUAUUCAGCAAAAUUCCAAAUUCACAGACAAUUAGAAAAAAUCUUGUGAAUAUUUUGCCACCAUGCAAGAUCUGUGUCUAUACAGAAUAUUAUUUUAAAUUAAUAUUUCAGCUGGCUCAUGUUUAAUUUAUUCUGGCCUGGUUUUGUCCUAUUGACAGAGGAAGUAACAAAUGUAUGAAUAUGCUCUGAUUCCCCAAUUCUCUAUUUAAUAACACAUAUUAAAAAAUUAAGAACAAGCUUUAAGGCAUGUCCCACUGUGUGGUUAGUUCUCUUAAGACAUUAUUAACAGAUGUUAUGACAUCUCGUUCCUAGCUGUGCUGGGAUCCCUGCUGCCAGCUGCUGAAAGCCUGGGAUCUCCCCUCACAUAUGCAGAAGUCAUUAAAAAAUAUAAUUGUUGAUAUUUUAAGUUGCCUAAAUUAGGACAUGUCUUGAUAAUGCCUAAAUUGGGGGAUGCACAUGAUAUUCAUUAGGCCAAAUCCAUUGCUGAAAUAAAGCCACAGAAAGAAAUGAACUAACUUUGAUGAUCUAGGAAGGCCUUCAGCACAAGAAUUCUUAUUUCAAAAUAGAAAUAUCAGCUAUUAUCUUUUUGUGUUUACAUGCCAAAGGAUAAUGGAAAUGGGAUUCUUUGCCUCAUACAUUGUACCUACUAAUCACUUAGGUAAUGUGCUCUUUUUCUGUGCUGUGCUUCAGGGUGUCCUUUCCACCUCGUGACUUGUGUGUGGCCACCAGCCUGUCCAGCAAUAUGUCAGACUGAAGCUGCAGAGGUGUCCCUGACCCAGCAUGGGUCAGGCAUGGCCACAAUCCCUCUGAGGUACCUCCUCGGGCCCAGAGCAUCUCCCCCCAAGAGUGCGUCUCCAGCUAUGUCCCCAACACUGUCCUCCCACAUGC